UACAGAUUAAUUGAUGACAAAGCAGAGAC
rnacentral:piRNA from 1 species